CAACAACCGCCCAAGGGCUGAGGAGUGCGGGCGCACAGCGUGGGACUGGCAGACAGCUCCACCUGCAGCCCCCGGGCGGGAUCCACUGAGUGAAGCCAGCUGGGCUCUUGAGUCUGGUGGGGACUUGGAGAAUCUUUAUGUCUAGCUAAGGGAUUGUAAAUACACCAAUCAGCACUCUGUAUCUAGCUCAAGGUUUGUAAAUGCACCAAUCAGCACUCUGUGUCUAGCUGAUCUGGUGGGGACUUGGAGAACAUUUAUGUCUAGCUAAGGGAUUGUGAAUACACCAAUCAGCACUCUGUAUCUAGCUCAAGGUUUGUAAAUGCACCAAUCAGCACCCUGUGUCUAGCUAAUCUGGUGGGGACUUGGAGAACCUUUGUGUCUAGCUCAGGAUUGUAAACGCACCAAUCAGCACCCUGUCAAAACAGACCAAUCAGCUCUCUGUAAAACAGACCAAUCAGCUCUCUGUAAAAUGGGCCAAUCAGCAGGAUGUGGGUGGAGCCAGAUAAGGGAAGAAAAGCAGGCUCUCCGAGCUAGCGGUGGCAAUCUGUUAGGGUUUGUGUCUGUCGUGUGGAAGCUUUGUUCAUUCGUCUUUUGCAAUAAAUCUUGCUACUGCUCAGUCUUUGGGUCCACACUGCUUUUAUGAGCUGUAGCAGUCACCACGAAGGUCUGCAGCUGCACUCCUGAGGCUAGCGAGACCACGAACCCACCGGGAGGAGCGAACGACUCCAGACGCGCUGACUUAAGAGCUGUAACAGCUUACCGCUAAGGUCUGCAGCUUCACUCCUGAGCCAGAGAGACCAGGAACCCACCUAGAAGGAACAAACUCCGGACAUGCCGCCUUUAAGAGCUGUAACACUCACCGCCAGGGUCCGCAGCUGCAUUCUUGAAGUCAGUGAGACCAAGAACCCACCAAUUCCAGACACACUGUCAUCAAAAAGUGGGAUAUCUUUUUAAACAGAGAUAACAUUGCAGAAUCUUGGAGUUGGAAAUAGACCUCAGCUGGGGUUUAGUCCUGUUUUCUCCUCAGAGCAGAAGUCCUGGGAUGCCGUUCUGGACUGAUUGUCAGUUUUUUCUCCUGUCCUUGAGCUAUUCUAAUGCCAGACAUCUGUGGCUUUACACAGCCAGGCUUUCAGUUAGAGAACUUGGUUAGCUCAGGUCAACAAAUGCUGCUCUGAGAACACUGACUCCCAUGUGGGGAGACUCUGCACCUGGAGCUCCGGGAGAGCCGGCUCAGGCCUCUUCCUGCUAUCCAGGGAACUGCAGUGGCGUUGGAGGGCCUUGCUGGGGCUGGGGCUGGGGAGAAGGGAUUCCAACCCUACUGAUAAUUCGUUUGGAAACACCGGGCUGUGGAUUUCAGAAGUUCUUGGGCAGCCUGAUUACCACUGGCAGUGAGCCGGGGACGAAGCCGAAGCUAUGAGUGACAGACGGAAAGAACUGGGGGCUUUGGUGAACCAGAGAACACUUAGCUCCUCCAGCCCUGAAGCAGGCGUCACCGCAGGGCUUAUGGUCCUAAGAGCCACUUAGUUUCCUUAUUCAUUAAACUAGUUUAAUUUGGGUUUUCUGCAUCCUGGAGGACACCAAGUCGGUGUGCGGAGGGACCCUGUAGACACGUGUGCAAAGAAUAAGCCGACGAUCAUGGAAUUUCUGAUGACGCCACUGACACGUGGGAUGGAGGCCUCCUUCCCAGGGCACCCCUACACUCAUGACAAUGAAUCCUGGCUCUUAUUCACCCCUUUGGAUUUCACAAGCAAGUACGGUAUGGCACUUUGAGGUGAAAUAUGGCUCUAUUUAAUGUCACUGGUUUCUUGAAGCUCUGAGUUUUCUGGGACCACAAGUUUUACUUGAAGACCUUCUCCGAUCAAACAACUCUGCCGCUGCAGCUUGAAAACAACCACAGACAACACACACACAAAUCCAGCGUGGCUGUGUUCCGACGCAAUUUGACAAAAACAGGCACUGGCCAGACUUGGCCCAUGGACUGCAGUUUGCCAGCCUCUGAACUUAGAGGAAAAAAAUUGGAAGAAUGGAGUGAACCUUGAGCACAGGGAGGAGCAGGCACUGAAGCUGUCUGUGUGCUCUUUUCCUGUCUUGAUGGAGAACAAGACAUUUGUAUGCUUUCACAAAACAAAGACAAGUGUAACUGUGAGUUCAAAGAUUACAUCAUUGAUUUCAGUAGUGUUGAUACUUUAAGCAUUUGCUAUGUUUCCUCUGAGCUAUUGGGACAUUACACUGAGAUGCAGUCGGUGGUAUGGGGAGGUGCUCAGGGGUUCUCCUCUCUGCCCUCACUGCUUGGUGCUUACAGACAGCUACUGAAGCAGUGCCUUUCAUGCUGGGGAGCCUGACUAUUUGCAGGUUGUUAAAUCAAUUUAAUGGGUCGUGGUCUGCAUUUGAAAGAAUAGAACUGGCUCAACUUCCUUGGGCUAGAAUGGAAAAUCACAAGGUACAUCCUUUAUAGUAUUUUGUGAAUUUUUGUUGUACACUUGAACAUAUAUAAACAUAUAUGGGAUGCAUACAUAAUAAAGAACUAUUAGGGGAAAAUCAAGCUGUUUUUUGUAAAGUUAAAACUUUGGAAAGAGUAUAGUCGAGUCACAAACUUUUCUCUGUUAAGUUAUACCUAGAUGUGAUGAUUGUGAAAAAUUGGCAAACAAAAACUCUAGAAAAAGUUUGCAUUCAGAUUGUUUCCCAAUGGCUUCCUAAGUUACUGAAAGACAUCUCAACUAGAAUUUAGGAAUAGACACUUUCAGUGUUAU
rnacentral:lncRNA from 1 species